GAAGGAUACGGUCUGGGAGAGAAGGACUGUGCUUGGCGGAGAAGUGAGAGAUGCUCUGCUUUGAGGACAGAAAGUCACAAACAAUAUUUCCAACUGCCACUGGUCUUGUGUCCUUUGUACACAAACAGUGGAACUGGUUGGUUGUUCAAGAGGACAGCGAGACACUGGGGAUCAUUUGAAUGCUUUUGCAGGUCCCAGAGGAUGGAGUGGGAAUAAGAGGAAAGCAGAGGUCAGCCCAAGGAAAAGAAGUCUCUGUCUGUGAGCGGGGGCUGCUUCCCAGAAAAGACAACACCCAGUGACCUACUUAGCAAAUGGAAACACAAACCAGAGAAAUCAGCCAAGGUCAUGGAUACACAGCCUCUCCUGACCAGCUAACUCCAGGUGUUCAGAGCAAGAACAAAAUGUGCUGACAUGAGGGAGUUCCCUUAAACUUCCCUGGGCAACAAAUCACAGACUGUUGAAUUUCUUGCUUUUCUAAGACUUUGUUAAAUAAAUGGCAGCAGCAAGCUGAGGUCCAGUCUAUAUGUGCUUUCCUGGUUUGGAUGAAGGCAACAUCUAAGAACAGCUCUUCCCCGGGUGGAGUCUUCUGACCUAGAUAGGUCUAUUGUUCUGCCAAGACUGCCGGCCACUACUGCUGAGAGGCUGAGAGGCAGAAUCUGUCUUCCUGAGAUAAGCAACAGCCAGGCAACUAAGUGCUGACAACCUGGACCAAGUGCUGACAGGCUGGUGACAAAGCAUCAAGAACCUGGUGUGGCGGGGGAUGGGCCUUCCCCCUUUAUAAGCUCAGACUCUUAGUAAACUAGGGGGGGAGGAGGGUGCGUGGGGGUUGAUCAGAAUUUUGUCUUGGUCUCGUUAUUCCUUCCGCUGUUUCCUCCCAUGCAGCUCCAGCCUCCCAUUCAGGAACCUGAUUCAUGUAGCUGCGGGCGGCUACAAUUCAAGAUAAUGGUCACUAUGCUAACUGUGUGUUUCUGCUUCUGUAAAUAAGCUUGCUUGCUCAAGAUAGCCGAUGACAUCUGUUUGCUAACUGAGCCCCUGCUUACAGGCAGAAUCCUUGCAUGUAGAUAGGAUAUGUGCCACUCCCCACCCCAGAAAGGCUGCAUCUUGAGAAUCCCGACUUUCUGGCGCAAUCCUGGUGCCAAUCUCAAUAAAGCUUCUUCUUUAAAGUUACUCAUGGUCAGAUUGGUGAAUCUCUGAACAACCUGAGACCUGAUGCUUUUUAUCAAAAUUAUA
rnacentral:lncRNA from 1 species